rnacentral:rRNA from 1 species
GACGAACGCUGGCGGCGUGCUUAACACAUGCAAGUCGAACGGAAAGGCCCUGCUUUUGUGGGGUGCUCGAGUGGCGAACGGGUGAGUAACACGUGAGUAACCUGCCCUUGCCUUUGGGAUAACUUCAGGAAACUGGGGCUAAUACCGGAUAGGAGCUCCUGCUGCUUGGUGGUGGUUGGAAAGUUUCGGCGGUUGGGGAUGGACUCGCGGCUUAUCAGCUUGUUGGUGGGGUAGUGGCUUACCAAGGCUUUGACGGGUAGCCGGCCUGAGAGGGUGACCGGCCCCAUUGGGACUGAGAUACGGCCCAGACUCCUACGGGAGGCAGCAGUGGGGAAUAGUGCACAAUGGGCGGAAGCCUGAUGCAGUAACGCCGCGUGCGUGAUGACGGCCUUCGGGUUGUAAACCGCUUUCGCCUGUGACGAAGCGUGAGUGACGGUAAUGGGUAAAGAAGCACCGGCUAACUACGUG